AGAGUUGAUCCUGGCUCAGGAUGAACGCUAGCGGCAGGCCUAACACAUGCAAGUCGAGGGGCAGCGCGGAGUAGUAAUACUUGGCGGCGACCGGCGCACGGGUGAGUAACACGUAUGCAACCAACCCAUAACAGGGGGAUAACCCGGAGAAAUCCGGACUAAUACCGCAUAAGACCACGAUAUCGCAUGAUAUAGAGGUCAAAUAUUUAUAGGUUAUGGACGGGCAUGCGUCUGAUUAGCUGGUUGGCGGGGUAACGGCCCACCAAGGCAUCGAUCAGUAGGGGUUCUGAGAGGAAGGUCCCCCACAUUGGAACUGAGACACGGUCCAAACUCCUACGGGAGGCAGCAGUGAGGAAUAUUGGUCAAUGGGCGAAAGCCUGAACCAGCCAUGUCGCGUGAAGGAAUGAAGGUCCUAUGGAUUGUAAACUUCUUUUGCAGGAGGGUAAAGUGAGCUACGUGUAGUUCAUUGCAAGUACCCUGCGAAUAAGCAUCGGCUAACUCCGUGCCAGCAGCCGC
rnacentral:rRNA from 1 species